rnacentral:rRNA from 1 species
UACAGAGGGUGCGAGCGUUAAUCGGAAUUACUGGGCGUAAAGCGUGCGUAGACGGUAGCGUAAGUCAGAUGUGAAAGCCCCGGGCUCAACCUGGGAAUUGCAUUUGAGACUGCUCUGCUCGGGUGCGGAAGAGGGAAGCGGAAUUUCCGGUGUAGCGGUGAAAUGCGUAGAUAUCGGAAGGAACAUCAGUGGCGAAAGCGGCUUCCUGGUCCGACACCGACGUUCAGGCACGAAAGCGUGGGGAGCAAACAGG